UACAGAGGGUGCGAGCGUUGUCCGGAAUCACUGGGCGUAAAGGGCGCGUAGGUGGCCCGGUAAGUAGGGGGUGAAAUCUCGAGGCUCAACUUCGAGGCUGCCUCCUAAACUGCCAGGCUUGAGCAGAGUAGAGGCAGGUGGAAUUCCCGGUGUAGCGGUGGAAUGCGUAGAGAUCGGGAAGAACAUCGGUGGCGAAGGCGGUUCUCUGGGCCUUACCUGACACUGAGGAGCGAAAGCGUGGGGAGCGAACAGG
rnacentral:rRNA from 1 species